AGUAAGGUCAGCUAAAUUAAGCUAUCGGGCCCAUACCCCCGAAAAUGUUGGUUUAUACCCUUCCCGUACUA
rnacentral:tRNA from 1 species